rnacentral:lncRNA from 1 species
GAAGCAGGAGCAGAGAGAUGAGGUGCUGGCUUUGAAGAUGGAGGAAGGGGCCGUGAGCCAAGGGAUAUGAGUGGCUUCUAGAAGCCAGAAAGGGCUAAGGAAUGGAGCCCCCAGAAGGAGCACAGCUUUGCUGACAGCUUGAUUUUAGCGCAGUGAGACCCAUGUUGAACGUCUAUCCUACAGAAUUGUAAGACAAGAAAUCUGUGUUGUUUAAGCAGCUCAGCGGUGGUGAUCUGUUACCGCAGCCACAGAGAAGGAACGCACGUACGGAUGUAGGCACUGCGAUGGAUACAGACCUGCAUCACGGUGCUGGGGACAGAGCAGAGAACAGCCAACACCCACUGCGGGGACUGUGGCUUUGUAGCCGAGACCUUCUAUCAUAACUGGAUCCUUCUUCACUCAGAACGGGUUUUCUCAGAGAAGCCUCUUCUGUCCCUCUGCAAGGAGAUGUGCAGGCUGCAGGGGUCAACUUGUGACAGGAGAUGGCAAGUGUGAUGAUGAGGAGGACCGCCAUAAAGAUGACAAGAUUGUUGAAAUGAAGAUGAGCUUGGGAAUUGGAUGAAGACAACUGAUCAUGAAGCCGAUUAAUCAUUGGA